AGGAUAUAUUCGGAACAUCUUCUUCAGAAGAUGCGGAAUAACGUGACAUAUUGUAUUCAGUUUUGAAUGUUUAUUUAACAUUCAAAUAUUUUUUGGUUAAAGCGAUAUUGCUUAUGCGAGCGCUUGACAAUCUAUUCUUUUUAAAGAAAGCGGUUGUCAGACAAUGCAUUGAGAAAAAUUAAAGCGGAGUUUACUAUUGUAAAUGAGCAUUUGAUUUUUUGAAAAUAAAGCAGUAUGCGAGCGCUUGACNGGAAUUGACGGGGACCCGCACAAGCGGUGGAGCAUGUGGUUUAAUUCGAAGCAACGCGAAGAACCUUACCAAAUCUUGACAUCCUUUGACAACUCUAGAGAUAGAGCCUUCCCCUUCGGGGGACAAAGUGACAGGUGGUGCAUGGUUGUCGUCAGCUCGUGUCGUGAGAUGUUGGGUUAAGUCCCGCAACGAGCGCAACCCUUAAGCUUAGUUGCCAUCAUUAAGUUGGGCACUCUAAGUUGACUGCCGGUGACAAACCGGAGGAAGGUGGGGAUGACGUCAAAUCAUCAUGCCCCUUAUGAUUUGGGCUACACACGUGCUACAAUGGACAAUACAAAGGGCAGCGAAACCGCGAGGUCAAGCAAAUCCCAUAAAGUUGUUCUCAGUUCGGAUUGUAGUCUGCAACUCGACUACAUGAAGCUGGAAUCGCUAGUAAUCGUAGAUCAGCAUGCUACGGUGAAUACGUUCCCGGGUCUUGUACACACCGCCCGUCACACCACGAGAGUUUGUAACACCCGAAGCCGGUGGAGUAACCUUUUAGGAGCUAGCCGUCGAAGGUGGGACAAAUGAUUGGGGUGAAGUCGUAACAAGGUAGCCGUAUCGGAAGGUGCGGCUG
rnacentral:rRNA from 1 species